rnacentral:rRNA from 1 species
AAUGGGCGCAAGCCUGAUCCAGCCAUUCCGCGUGCAGGAUGAAGGCCUUCGGGUUGUAAACUGCUUUUGUACGGAACGAAAAGGUCCUGGUUAAUACCUGGGGCUCAUGACGGUACCGUAAGAAUAAGCACCGGCUAACUACGUGCCAGCAGCCGCGGUAAUACGUAGGGUGCAAGCGUUAAUCGGAAUUACUGGGCGUAAAGCGUGCGCAGGCGGUCUUGUAAGACAGAGGUGAAAUCCCCGGGCUCAACCUGGGAACUGCCUUUGUGACUGCAAGGCUGGAGUACGGCAGAGGGGGAUGGAAUUCCGCGUGUAGCAGUGAAAUGCGUAGAUAUGCGGAGGAACACCGAUGGCGAAGGCAAUCCCCUGGGCCUGUACUGACGCUCAUGCACGAAAGCGUGGGGAGCAAA